UUUUUUUCUUACUGCUUUCAUGACUGUUGCAACAAUGUAUUUGGAUAUGGUGGUAUCUCUUGUGAACAUUUUAACCCAUCAGGUACAUAGAAGACGGCUUCAAGACACAAAGCUUCUCAGUCGUAAGACUUUUUGAUUAUGUAUGUUCUACAAUAAAGCCUGUGUGAUUUAGGAUUAACGUAGGAAGACGUUUAGAAGUUGUGUAUGUGGAAGGAAAGACCUGUGUGUCUAUUGCUUUACUCGACAGAUGUCGCAGCCUUGUCUUGUGGAAAAGUGAAUCUUGGGCAACAGGGUUGUCAGCAGGUGUAAGGUAAGCAAAAUGAUCUCGCUUGAAUAGUUUCAGGAUCCACAUAGAUUGAGAGGAGCAGCAAAGAAAGUGAAGAAAAAAGUGUGUACCAUCUUAUGUAGGAAGACAUUUGGAAGUUGUGUUCGCGGAAGGAAAGGCCUGUGUGUCUAUUGCUUUUUUCGACAGAUGUAGCAGUCUUGUCUUGUGGAAAAGUGAAUCUUGGGCAACAGGGUUUUCAGCAGGUGUAAGGUAAGCAAAAUGAUCUUGCUUGAAUGGUUUCAGGAUCCACAAAGAUUGAGAGGAGCGGCAAAGAAAGUGCAGAAAAAAGUUUGUACCAUCUUAUGUAGGAAGAGAUUCGGAAGUUGUGUUCGUGGAAGGAAAGGCCUGUGUGUCUAUUGCUUUACUCGACAGAUGUCGCAGCCUUGUCUUGUGGAAAAGUGAAUCUUGGGCAACAGGGUUUUCAGAAGGUGUGAGGUAAGCAAAAUGAUCUUGCUUGAAUAGUUUCAGGAUCCACACAGAUUGAGAGGAGCAGCAAAGAAAGUGAAGAAAAAAGUUUGUACCAUCUUAUGUAGGAAGACAAUUGGAAGUUGUGUUUGCAGAAGGAAAGGCCUGUGUGUCUAUUGCUUUACUCGACAGAUGUCGCAGCCUUGUCUUGUGGAAAAGUGAAUCUUGGGCAACAGGGUUUUCAGAAGGUGUAAGGUAAGCAAAAUGACCUCGCUUGAAUAGUUUCAGGAUCCACAUAGAUUGAGAGGAGCAGCAAAGAAAGUGAAGAAAAAAGUUUGUACCAUCUUAUGUAGAAGACAUUUGAAAGUUGUGUUCGCGGAAGGAAAGGCCUGUGUGUCUAUUGCUUUACUCGACAGAUGUCGCAGCCUUGUCUUGUGGAAAAGUGAAUCUUGGGCAACAGGGUUUUCAGAAGGUGUAAGGUAAGCAAAAUGAUCUUGCUUGAAUGGUUUCAGGAUCCACAAAGAUUGAGAGGAGCGGCAAAGAAAGUGCAGAAAAAAGUUUGUACCAUCUUAUGUAGGAAGACAUCUGGAAGUUGUGUUCGCGGAAGGAAAGGCCUGUGUGUCUAUUGCUUUACUCGACAGAUGUCGCAGCCUUGUCUUGUGGAAAAGUGAAUCUUGGGCAACAGGGUUUUCAGCAGGUGUAAGGUAAGCAAAAUGAUCUCGCUUGAAUGGUUUCAGGAUCCACAAAGAUUGAGAGGAGCAGCAAAGAAAGUGAAGAAAAAAGUUUGUACCAUCUUAUGCCUUCUCUAUCAGAUCCCUUCAAGACACAAAAUAUCGGACCUUUGCUGCCUAGGAAGACCUUGAUUAUAGUUGUUACCUUUGAACCUUGAGACUCGUCAAUCAUUGAGACGCAAAGGGUUUGGACAGAAAACACUGCUAAUUUGAAAUGUAUAGGGUGAAGGAAAAGUUGUCUCUCUGCUUUGUGUUUCACAGGUGGCAGACCAUUAUGACCCGAGUCAGUCUUCGAGAGGUGUGGUUUUUUUCUUACUGCUUUCAUGACUGUUGCAACAAUGUAUUUGGAUAUGGUGGUAUCUCUUGUGAACAUUUUAACCCAUCAGGUACAUAGAAGACGGCUUCAAGACACAAAGCUUCUCAGUCGUAAGACUUUUUGCUUAUGUAUGUUCUACAAUAAAGCCUGUGUGAUUUAGGAUUAACGUAGGAAGACGUUUAGAAGUUGUGUAUGUGGAAGGAAAGGCCUGUGUGUCUAUUGCUUUACUCGACAGAUGUCGCAGCCUUGUCUUGUGGAAAAGUGAAUCUUGGGCAACAGGGUUGUCAGCAGGUGUAAGGUAAGCAAAAUGAUCUCGCUUGAAUAGUUUCAGGAUCCACAUAGAUUGAGAGGAGCAGCAAAGAAA